rnacentral:rRNA from 1 species
UGGCUCAGGAUGAACGCUGGCGGCGUGCUUAACACAUGCAAGUCGAACGGUGAAGCAGAGCUUGCUCUGUGGAUCAGUGGCGAACGGGUGAGUAACACGUGAGCAAUCUGCCCCUGACUCUGGGAUAAGCGCUGGAAACGGCGUCUAAUACCGGAUACGAGCUGCGACCGCAUGGUCAGUAGCUGGAAAGAAUUUCGGUCAGGGAUGAGCUCGCGGCCUAUCAGCUUGUUGGUGAGGUAAUGGCUCACCAAGGCGUCGACGGGUAGCCGGCCUGAGAGGGUGACCGGCCACACUGGGACUGAGACACGGCCCAGACUCCUACGGGAGGCAGCAGUGGGGAAUAUUGCACAAUGGGCGCAAGCCUGAUGCAGCAACGCCGCGUGAGGGAUGACGGCCUUCGGGUUGUAAACCUCUUUUAGCAGGGAAGAAGCGAAAGUGACGGUACCUGCAGAAAAAGCGCCGGCUAACUACGUGCCAGCAGCCGCGGUAAUACGUAGGGCGCAAGCGUUAUCCGGAAUUAUUGGGCGUAAAGAGCUCGUAGGCGGUCUGUCGCGUCUGCUGUGAAAACCCGAGGCUCAACCUCGGGCCUGCAGUGGGUACGGGCAGACUAGAGUGCGGUAGGGGAGAUUGGAAUUCCUGGUGUAGCGGUGGAAUGCGCAGAUAUCAGGAGGAACACCGAUGGCGAAGGCAGAUCUCUGGGCCGUAACUGACGCUGAGGAGCGAAAGGGUGGGGAGCAAACAGGCUUAGAUACCCUGGUAGUCCACCCCGUAAACGUUGGGAACUAGUUGUGGGGUCCAUUCCACGGAUUCCGUGACGCAGCUAACGCAUUAAGUUCCCCGCCUGGGGAGUACGGCCGCAAGGCUAAAACUCAAAGGAAUUGACGGGGACCCGCACAAGCGGCGGAGCAUGCGGAUUAAUUCGAUGCAACGCGAAGAACCUUACCAAGGCUUGACAUAUAGAGGAAACGUCUGGAAACAGUCGCCCCGCAAGGUCUCUAUACAGGUGGUGCAUGGUUGUCGUCAGCUCGUGUCGUGAGAUGUUGGGUUAAGUCCCGCAACGAGCGCAACCCUCGUUCUAUGUUGCCAGCACGUAAUGGUGGGAACUCAUGGGAUACUGCCGGGGUCAACUCGGAGGAAGGUGGGGAUGACGUCAAAUCAUCAUGCCCCUUAUGUCUUGGGCUUCACGCAUGCUACAAUGGCCGGUACAAUGGGCUGCAAUACCGUGAGGUGGAGCGAAUCCCAAAAAGCCGGUCCCAGUUCGGAUUGAGGUCUGCAACUCGACCUCAUGAAGUCGGAGUCGCUAGUAAUCGCAGAUCA